AUAUUAAAAUUGUUGCAGUUAAAAAGCUCGUAGUUGAAUUUCUGCUGCAUCGCUGUGUCCCUUCGGGGUCUCUGCAUGUGGCUUAUUUCAGACGGAGUUUACUUUGUCUGGAUGUUUACUUUGAGAAAAUUAGAGUGCUCAAAGCAGGCUUUUGCCUUGAAUAGUUUAGCAUGGAAUAAUAAAGUAGGACUUUGGUUCUAUUUUGUUGGUUUUAGGUACCAAAGUAAUGGUUAAUAGGAACAGUUGGGGGCAUUCGUAUUUAACUGUCAGAGGUGAAAUUCUUAGAUUUGUUAAAGACGAACUACUGCGAAAGCAUUUGCCAAGGAUGUUUUCAUUAAUCAAGAACGAAAGUUAGGGGAUCGAAGACGAUCAGAUACCGUCGUAGUCCUAACCAUAAACAAUGCC
rnacentral:rRNA from 1 species